rnacentral:rRNA from 1 species
UACGUAGGUGGCAAGCGUUGUCCGGAAUUACUGGGCGUAAAGGGUGCGUAGGCGGAAGUUUAAGUAGAAAGUGAAAGGUUGGAGCUCAACUCCAACAUUGCUUCCUAUACUGGACAUCUUGAGUUUCGGAGAGGAAGAUGGAACGACACGUGUAGCGGUGAAAUGCGUUGAUAUGUGUCGGAACACCAAUAGCGAAGGCAAUCUUCUGGACGAACACUGACGCUGAGGCACGAAAGCAUGGGUAGCGAACAGG